UACGUAGGGUGCAAGCGUUGUCCGGAAUUAUUGGGCGUAAAGAGCUCGUAGGCGGUUUGUCGCGUCUGCUGUGAAAACUUGGGGCUCAACCCCAAGCUUGCGGGCGAUACGGGCAGACUUGAGUACUGCAGGGGAGACUGGAAUUCCUGGUGUAGCGGUGAAAUGCGCAGAUAUCAGGAGGAACACCGGUGGCGAAGGCGGGUCUCUGGGCAGUAACUGACGCUGAGGAGCGAAAGCGUGGGUAGCAAACAGG
rnacentral:rRNA from 1 species